rnacentral:rRNA from 1 species
GUGGGGAAUUUUGGACAAUGGGCGCAAGCCUGAUCCAGCAAUGCCGCGUGCAGGAAGAAGGCCUUCGGGUUGUAAACUGCUUUUGUACGGAACGAAACGGUCCUGGCUAAUACCUGGGGCUAAUGACGGUACCGUAAGAAUAAGCACCGGCUAACUACGUGCCAGCAGCCGCGGUAAUACGUAGGGUGCGAGCGUUAAUCGGAAUUACUGGGCGUAAAGCGUGCGCAGGCGGUGCUGUAAGACAGGCGUGAAAUCCCCGGGCUCAACCUGGGAACUGCAUCUGUGACUGCAUUGCUGGAGUGCGGCAGAGGGGGAUGGAAUUCCGCGUGUAGCAGUGAAAUGCGUAGAUAUGCGGAGGAACACCGAUGGCGAAGGCAAUCCCCUGGGCCUGCACUGACGCUCAUGCACGAAAGCGUGGGGAGCAAACAGGAUUAGAUACCCCUGUAGUCC